AAGUGACAACCAUUUCAGGUGACUACCUCUUGAAGCUCAUCGAGAGAAUGCCAAGCGUGUGCAAAGCAGUAACUGGAGCAAAGGGUGGCUAUUUUGAAGAAACCAGAACAUGAAACAUGUUUUCAGGUUCAAGAUGCAGUCGAGCUUUCUCUUGCGGCAGCGUUGUGCAGCGAUACGGUUCUUGCUUCUUCGCCUCACAUCGUGGAUGAACUCCAGCUGCUCUGAGCGGCAAAUAAACGAUGCUUCUUACAAGUACCAUCCCUGGAAGAAGAGGAAGAGCUAAACAUGCUUCACUACUAGGGUUGCCACAGUUACUUUGAAAAGGAACUGGAUAGAUCAGCAGAGCAUCAAGGCUGUACAAAAUAGCAUACUAAACACAUACAAAUAAAUGAUGAAUCAAACUAUACUUCAAUGUCCCAUAAUCCCAAUUUAUUUAUUGAUAUUUAAAUGUGUAUUUAUUCAUAUAUCUUUUAUUUUACUGGAAUUAGCAAAUCCUGGGUUCAAUCCCGGGCUCGGGAUCGUUCUGUGUGGAGUUUGCAUGUUCUCCCCGUGACUGCGUGGGUUCCCUCCGGGUAC